rnacentral:lncRNA from 1 species
CUAAUAGCAUUUUUUUUUUAUCAUUCAUAUCAUGUUUGUUGAUUAUAAGCUUCACAUAUUACAAAAAUAUCAUUGAGUUCCAAAGGUGUAGAUCACAAUACCUAUCCAUUUAGUAAAAUAUUCAACUUGGCCAAUAACUAAAUAGUUUAAUCCUAAUCAACAUAAUAAAAUGUAUUACCUGUAUUAACAAGAGGAGUAGGGUUAUUUAAUUCAUCCAGUGAUUGAGUAUCUUGAAUAGUUUCCCUUGUAAGUGUAGUUUGCUUAAAGACACGUCCACCUGGUGCCAUUGAUUGGCAGAACACUAUCAAAAC